rnacentral:rRNA from 1 species
GACAAUGGGCGCAAGCCUGAUCCAGCAAUGCCGCGUGUGUGAAGAAGGCCUUCGGGUUGUAAAGCACUUUUGUCCGGAAAGAAAACCUCUGGGUUAAUACCCCGGGGGGAUGACGGUACCGGAAGAAUAAGCACCGGCUAACUACGUGCCAGCAGCCGCGGUAAUACGUAGGGUGCAAGCGUUAAUCGGAAUUACUGGGCGUAAAGCGUGCGCAGGCGGUCCGCUAAGACAGAUGUGAAAUCCCCGGGCUUAACCUGGGAACUGCAUUUGUGACUGGCGGGCUAGAGUAUGGCAGAGGGGGGUAGAAUUCCACGUGUAGCAGUGAAAUGCGUAGAGAUGUGGAGGAAUACCGAUGGCGAAGGCAGCCCCCUGGGCCAAUACUGACGCUCAUGCACGAAAGCGUGGGGAGCAAACAGGAUUAGAUACCCUGG